rnacentral:rRNA from 1 species
UGACCUGCCCGGUGAAUUUCUUUUAAACGGCCGCGGUAUCUUGACCGUGCAAAGGUAGCAUAAUCAAUUGUCUUAUAAUUGAAGACUGGAAUGAAUGGUUGGAUGAAAUAGAAGCUGUCUUGUCUAUAUUUAUUAGAAAUUGGUUUUUAAAUGAAGAGAUUUAAAUGUGAUUGAUAGACAAGAAGACCCUAUUGAGCUUAAAAUAAUUUUGAGGGUAUAUUUUAUUAAUGUAGAUAUAGGUUUUGAAUUUUUUUUAGUUGGGGCGACUAAGGAGCAGGCGAUAGCAUCCUUUUAAACUUAGGAUUGUUGAAUUUUGAUCCAAUAUAGUUGAUUAAAAGAAAUAGUUACCGUAGGGAUAACAGCAUAUCCUUCUUUGAGAGUUCGUCUCGAAAAGGGGGGUUGUGACCUCGAUGUUGGACUAAAAAACCUAUAGGUGUAGUUGUUUAUA